UGUUUUCUCCUCGCCAGCAUUUGCAGGUGAUCCCACCCAAAAAGUCGUGGAAGCGUCGCCAAGCUGCUGCCUCCAAACCCCUCCUGCAUCCUGGGGGAAAACCUGCGGGUUUUGGUGCUCGAGAGCCUGGCUGGGACCUGCCUCUUUUUCAGCCUGGGAAAGAGGGGUCCCUGUUCCUGGCUACGUAAAUCAGUCAAUAAAUAAAUAACUUUGCGGGACCCAGGCAUGAUUUGUUCCCAGGGAAGCCCCCACGAGCUCGGGACACGGAGCAAAACGGGGCAGUUUUGGUGAAGCUGAGCACUGCACCCCGGUUUGUGGGUGCUCCCCCAAGCACCCCACGUACUCCCUAUUUGCUGCCUCGUUGCUCCCCAAAAGUUGAGGGGCCGGGGAUCUCGGGGGGGGGGGGGGGAAGCCGUCAGCCUCGUUUAGCACAGAGGUGCUCCACCUGCACUGCUAAUUAGUGGCGUGAGGAGCAAGCACCUUCCUCCCCACCGGGAAGCAGCUAAUAAACCAAUUAGGAUAAUGGAUAACUGAGCAGAUAAAACUCUUAAGCCAGGUGCUGACAGGUCACAGAUGGGUGCAGGGCCUUUCCCCAGGCCCCUGGCUCAGCAGCAGGGCAGGCCGCAAUGCGCCAUCCCUCCGUGACAUCAACAGUGUCCUGCGUGGGGAAGGGCUCUGUGGGUAUUUCCCUGGGGGUCUCGCUUUGCAGCACCCCUGUGCUUUUCUCCGAGGCCACCCCAAGCCCAAACCCCCCCUUAUUUUUGCACAGAAGCUGCGUUUUCCACCCCAGCGCCCUGCUGCCCUAGGCAGGCAGCUGGCGCUCAGCUUGUGGCAAGGGGACCUUGAGGCUGGUGGGGGUGACCCUGGUGGGUGGCACUCAUGGUCCCCAAUCACAGCAGGACUUUUAUUUCUUUUUGAGGCACUGCUGGAAGCAGAUGGUUUGUUCCCCCUUACCCCAGCAGCCCAUGGAUGGGGUGGAGAAGUGUCCCUGUGUAAUGUCCCUUGGGGCAGUGCCACCAGUGUGGGAUGGGAGUGGUGGCAGAGCCCCAGUGAUGCUGAAAGAAAUGGCUGCAGCAGUGGGAUUUUAACAGCACUUAACAUCUCCAACCCCAGCUGGAGAAGAGAAGCACAUCCACCUCUGCAGCUUUAUCCUUGACCCCCAAGGUGAGUGGCAGCUGCCCCUUUCUCUCUGUGCGUCACGCAAGCCAGGAGCAGUUCUCCAGCAUCCCUUCCCUGCCCGAGGUGGACGCAGCGAGUGAUGGAGGGGUGAGGAGGGGGCUCUGGCCAGCGGGCACGUGCAUUACAAUGAAGGCUGGGGGCUGCUAUUCCUUCCUCCCCAUCAUAUGUACCUUCUCAAUGGGGCAUGGGGGAACCUGGACUGAAAAGCAAGUGAGUUACAGCAACGGGGCCCCAGCAGGGUCUGCAUUCAGCCUGCCCAGGCUUGUGGUUUGGCUGUCCUAUUUUUUUUAAAAGGGGGAGUUAAAAUGUAUUGGGACUUGCUUGAGGACUGCCAAAAAAAUGUGAAAGAUGACCCUUAAAGCUGCCCCUGUCUGUGCAGGGGAAGCUGGUUCCUGCUGCAUGGGGGAACUGGGUUUCUUUAAAUCCGAGGGGAGCCCAGGAGCCGAGCUCUCUCCCUAAAUUUGCUGCUGGCGGUUUCCUUCACGCUGUGUGCGUGGGCUCCUUACAGCAGAUGGAAAAGGAGCCCUGGGUGGGAAGGGGGGACAAACCAAGCUCUUCUCCCAUCUGCAGGUGGGGAGAGGUUCGGUUCCCCCUUCCCAAGCACCAGGGGUAAUCCUGCAGCAUCGCUCGGCUCCUACAGGCGUGAGGAACUGCUCGUGCCCAUCCCUGUGGCAUCCUGCCCGGCAAAGCCACCUGGCCAGCAUCUCCUGAGCCUGACCAGAGCCCGUUGCCUCCAGGUCAGGCCCAUGGAGGGCCCCGUGCAAUUAAAAACCUGAUGUAAACCUUCCCAUCCUCAUCUUCAUGGGCUUGUAGCUGAGGGCAGGGGGAGGAAAACUUGGUUCCUUUGUGCUCAGGCCACAGACAAACCUGUCAGUUUCUUGUGAUAACUAUCAUGGUGAGGGGUGGCAGGGGGAGAUGAGGCAUCUCUGGGGGGGCUCUGCUGUCCUAUAUCGCUCUCUCUUCAUUAUCUUCUCAUUUAGCUUAAUUCCCCCUACACCAGCAGGGGUGAAUACUUCAGGUCACAGGUCCCGAAUUUUCCCGCAGACUGCCAAGUACCAAUGCUACCGAGAGCACUGCAGCCAAAACACAUCUCCUGCCCCACCCGGUGCCAGCACCACCCCCUGCACCCCAAAACCCCCUGGGAAGCCCCCGCUGCGCCCGCUGACCUGCCGUGGUGGUGUCCACGUCCCUGGCCGCCAUCUCCUCCACCUCCGCCCGCCUGCGCAGCUCCAGCCGCCGCGAGAAGCCCUCCCUGGGCUUCCAGAGGUCCUGGAUGAGCAGCGGCUUCUCGUGGUCCCCGAGGACCCUGAGCCCCUCGGUGUGCCACCGCUUCUCGGGGCCCUCGAACCUGCCGAUGACAUCGCACAGCGCGUAGUGCCCGGCGCCCAGCUGGCUCAGCCCGUAGCGCUCCAGGGCCUCCUUCACCAGCUCCCGUGCGCCCGAGCUGCCCGUGGCCAGCACGCUCUUGUAGUUGGUGCCCGCGCAGAUGUUGCCUCCGAAAAUCUUCAGGAUGCCCGGGGCGGAGAGCUGGGUGGAGAGCUCGGCCGGGUCGUCCCCGUCGCCUGCGGGGGAAGCCGAGGUGGGGCUCCGGUCCUUGUAGCUCAGCGUGCGCUGCAGGACCUGGGACAGGAGGCGGCUCUGGCGCUUCAGCCGGUUCUUGGACGGCGGAGCCAUGGUGGAGGAGGAUCCGUAAAACAUGGUGCGGGAGGUCGUCAUGGGACGCGGCUGGGUGGGGAUGGAAAAAAGGGGAAAAAGAAAUCAGGGGUCUGGAAAAAGGGAGAAAUUAGGUAUCUGGAGGGCUGAUGUGUGGCAGGUAGGAGUGAGCAGCCACCUCCUGUGCUGGAGCCCCCUCCGAGGUGGAAAAGGCCAGUAGGGAGUGAGGUCGAUUUCCCCUAUGCAGCCCAGAACACCAGCAACCAAGCUCAGCCAGGCUCCUCAGCAUCCCCACGGUUACCGCAGGAUGGCUUUGUCCCUGAAAAGUUAAUUUCCAUCAUGCAUAUUAAGAAGUCCCUCUUGCUAAGCCAGGACGUGCUUAUCUGCAGCGGGACUCAGCAGAGCCCAGCAGUUUUGUUGCAGCCAGGGCUCGGCAGAGCCCAGCCUGGUUAGGAGCCAACGC